rnacentral:rRNA from 1 species
CAGUAGCCGCGGUAAUACAGAGGGUGCGAGCGUUAAUCGGAUUUACUGGGCGUAAAGCGUGCGUAGGCGGCUUUUUAAGUCGGAUGUGAAAUCCCUGAGCUUAACUUAGGAAUUGCAUUCGAUACUGGGAAGCUAGAGUAUGGGAGAGGAUGGUAGAAUUCCAGGUGUAGUGGUGAAAUGCGUAGAGAUCUGGAGGAAUACCGAUGGCGAAGGCAGCCAUCUGGCCUAAUACUGACGCUGAGGUACGAAAGCAUGGGGAGCAAACAGGAUUAGAUACCCCAGUAGUCCCUGUCUCUUAUAU